rnacentral:rRNA from 1 species
ACAUGCAAGUCGAGCGACGGAGAUGGAAGCUGGAGACAGUGGAAGGUCUUACGGAGCGGCGGACUGGUGGGUAAUACAUGAGAAGCGGUCCAUCAGAGGGGGACAACGUUUAGAAAUGAACGCUAAUACCCCAUAGUCCGAAAGGUUAAAGCAGCAAUGUGCUGGUGGAGGUGCUCGUGUCCUAUCAAUUUGUUGGCGGGGUAACGGCCCACCCAAGAUGACGACGGGUAGCCGGCCUGAGAGGGUGUACGGCCACACUGGGACUGAGAUACGGCCCAGACUCCUACGGGAGGCAGCAGUGGGGAAUAUUGGGCAAUGGGAGAAAUCCUUGACCCAGCGACGCCGCGUGAACGAUGAAGGCCUUCGGGUCGUAAAGUUCUUUUAUGUGAGAAGAAAACAAUGACGGUAUCACAUGAAUAAGCCCCGGCUAACUACGUGCCAGCCGCGGC